AGUGAACGCUGGCGGCAUGCUUUACACAUGCAAGUCGAACGGUAACAGGCCGCAAGGUGCUGACGAGUGGCGAACGGGUGAGUAAUGCAUCGGAACGUGCCCAGUCGUGGGGGAUAACGCAGCGAAAGCUGCGCUAAUACCGCAUACGAUCUAUGGAUGAAAGCGGGGGACCGCAAGGCCUCGCGCGAUCGGAGCGGCCGAUGUCAGAUUAGGUAGUUGGUGGGGUAAAGGCUCACCAAGCCAACGAUCUGUAGCUGGUCUGAGAGGACGACCAGCCACACUGGGACUGAGACACGGCCCAGGCUCCUACGGGAGGCAGCAGUGGGGAAUUUUGGACAAUGGGCGCAAGCCUGAUCCAGCAAUGCCGCGUGCAGGAAGAAGGCCUUCGGGUUGUAAACUGCUUUUGUACGGAACGAAACGGUCCGGGUUAAUACCCUGGGCUAAUGACGGUACCGUAAGAAUAAGCACCGGCUAACUACGUGCCAGCAGCCGCAGUAACAC
rnacentral:rRNA from 1 species